GUGUCAUUCAACGACAGCAAUUUCCUAUGUCAUCUGUGUUCAAAAUUGUCCAAAAUGGCUGAGACAGAAACCGAUAAUAACAGUAUUGUUCGGCCCGAUAAAAAUAAUAAGGGCACUCUGACAAAUAAUGGCCCUCGUCGCGUUACCAUUUACAAAACUGACACCGGUUUUGGUUUCAAUGUUCGCGGUCAGGUUUCCGAGGGCGGCCAGUUAAGAUCGAUCAAUGGUGAAUUAUAUGCUCCUUUGCAGCACGUCAGUGCUGUUCUGGAACAGGGUGCUGCUGAGCAAGCUGGUAUCAGAAAAGGGGACAGAAUCCUCGAAGUCAAUGGGGUGAACGUCGAAGGCGCGACCCACAAGCAAGUGGUCGAUCUAAUCAAAUCGGGAGGCGACUGUCUCACCCUAACCGUCAUUUCUGUCACACCUAAGGAGGCAGAACGGUUAGAGCCAGGCGACGAUGGAACUGCUCCAGUUGGCGUUAUAGGGGGAGCGGCAAAUUCACGAGCGACCGUCUACCAACGAUACGACUACACAGACAAGCGGUCGUUACCCGUCUCUAUUCCCGAUUACCGGAUAGUUAUGGAGCGUAACACGGGACGGUCGUACGUGGCCUUCAAUGUUCAUAUGGCUGGACGACAUUUGUGCAGCCGACGUUAUAGGGAGUUCGCAGCUCUACAUCAACUCCUGAGAAAAGAAUUCCUCGGUUUUAAUUUUCCAAAAUUACCUGGGAAGUGGCCGUUCACAUUAAGUGAACAACAAUUGGACGCAAGGAGGAGAGGUCUCGAACAGUAUUUAGAAAAGGUGUGCGCAGUACGCGUGAUUGCUGAAUCUGAUGCUGUUCAAGAAUUCCUUACAGAUUCAGAUGAUUCCUCGAAUCCAUCGCCAGUAGACUUAAAAGUUCUACUUCCUGAUAAAGAAGUGGUUACAGUUUCAGUAUUAAAGUCAACCAAUGCUGACGAUGUGUAUCGGGCUGUUUGUGAAAAGAUCGGACUCUCGAAGGCCGUGCAAAAGUAUUUCUAUCUGUUUGAAAUUGUCGAGUAUAAUUUUGAACGUAAACUUCAACCAAACGAAUGCCCCCACUCCCUGUACAUCCAGAACUACUCAACAGCGUCCAGCAGCUGUCUGUCGAUACGCAAGUGGCUUUUCAACCCCGAGAGGGAGAUAUCAGUCGUGAAGGAGGACGAAAAAGCUGCGGCUUUCAUAUUCUGGCAGGCCGUGGAGGACGUGAACCGCGGCGUGUGCGUGGCGGGCGCGCGCCUGUACCAGCUGAAGGCGCUGCAGGACGUGCGGCGCGCCGGCGACUACCUGGCGCUGGCGCGCACGCUGCCCGGCUACGGCCACGUGGCCUUCCCGCCCGCGCGCACCGACUGCGGCGCCGCGCCCGCGCUGGCGCUCACGCUGGGCUGGGCCGGCCUGUCGCUCGCCUCCUGGAGCGACGCGGGCGGCGCGGGGCCCGACGUGCGCGUGUGCUGGCGCGACGUGCGCGAGUGGCGCGCCGACGACGCCGCGGCCGCCGCGCGCCUGCUGUACCGCCCGCGCGACCGCCCGCCGCGCGCGCUCGCGCUGCACACGCCCUACUAUCAAUUUCUAUGCAACUGCAUGGACCGAAUAGCGGAGGAAGCGAGCUGGGUCGACACCGGCGAAUAAAACGUCGAACCGGCCAGAAUCUUCUAGAACGUAAGAUAUCAACGGUAUUACGCCAAUGAGCACCGCCAUUUUGACGAGAUUGAUUUUACUCAUUCAACGUAAUGUUGCUGGUAUAAAAAUAAAAAAUAUAUAUACUUAUCAAAAUGGCGACGUUAAUCCUAUCUAGUUUACGUAUGAUAUUGAUGUGAUUUGUUUUUAAGUGAUUAUUUAAAAUUGGUAAUAAUUUAGACGAUUUAUUCAGUAAGGGUUGCCAUUUCAGAACGGAGAUACUGUGAUAGGUUUGAUUUAUCGGGUGGAAUUUGGAAUGUUCACAUUUAUAUCCCGAGGCUGGAUUGGAAAUUGAUUCUAUUCGAUUGUUUUGUAUACCUUACAUUUAUAAUAUAAGGCAAUGAAUGAUGUACCGGCUCUCAUGCUACGUUUAUUACGUACUUACAAAUUUUUAUACAUAAUCAAAUAUUAUUAGUGGAAUUUGUAAUCUUUUUCAUAUAAGUUAAUGUAAUACUUAUGUACAGCGUCCUGUGAACUGAAUUCGUUUUUUUUUUUUUUUAUGAUGUGUUUAGGGCGAUUUUAUAAUUUCAUUGGGAACAAGGAUAAUUUUAUACGAAUUAUUUUAAAAACUUACGCACUUGGACAAUUCUUGCGUUCAAUGGACGAUUUUUAUCGAUAACCGUAUUUAGAUAUAUAUAAAUUUUUAAGUGCACUAAUUAAUUACACUUAUUAGCGAAUAUUGCAUCGCUAAUAUCAAAAAAAUU